GAAACGUGAGGGGUCCAGUGAGUCAUGGCAGACUUUACCAGCACAGAUGUUGAUGCCCACUGAUGCUAACCCCACUGCCAUCAGCAGAUUUGGCACAAUGUGGAUGUCCAUAUUGUGCAUCACCUGUGUAGAGUGAGAAGGACCAACUCCACCAAUGAGAAUCCAGGCCAGUGUCCUCUAAGCAAACCUGCCCUUGGUCAACAGGUCCAGAAAGAGUGCCAGAGGGAGGGGUUUGAUGCAAGGUGUGCCAUGUAAUAGACUGAGAAACCGUGAAACUGAAAUAAACAGAAGAAAACAGGCAUGACAGAAUGUGACACACAUUUUAACCUUGUGAGCAUCAAUAAAUGGCAGGGUCAGAAAUAAAAUGUCAUCAGAAGUGACAAUAAUGACCCAGAUAUUAAAAACAUAGUAGCAAAAUUUGCGAACUUGUAACAUUUGGUAUAUUUCCAAAUUUUAUGAUUUGAUAUAGGCUAUUUAACAUAUUUCAUAUUCUAUUGUAUUGUAUUGUAGGCCAAUCUUGGGCUGAGUUACUGCCUUUGCAGACAAUGUAGUGGUGUGUCAAUGCUGGCUAUCUGCAUUUGCUGGCUCAGAGUUCUCUGGCCCCCAUCACUGCUUCUAAACUAUCUUUCCCUUCACCAUCAUGCACUGGAGGAGGAAUCUGAUUCAAAAACUCAUUCAGCAUCCUCUGAGCUGUGAAAUGGCUGAAAUCAGUGAAGUCUUUCCCCACCAUGACGGUUCC